UACGGAGGGGGCAAGCGUUGUCCGGAAUUAUUGGGCGUAAAGAGCUCGUAGGCGGUUUGUCGCGUCUGCUGUGAAAGUUCGGGGCUCAACCCCGGAACUGCAGUGGGUACGGGCAGACUAGAGUGCGGUAGAGGAGGCUGGAAUUCCUGGUGUAGCGGUGGAAUGCGCAGAUAUCAGGAGGAACACCAGUGGCGAAGGCGGGUCUCUGGGCCGCAACUGACGCUGAGGAGCGAAAGCGUGGGGAGCGAACAGG
rnacentral:rRNA from 1 species